rnacentral:rRNA from 1 species
AGAACGAACGCUGGCGGCAUGCCUAACACAUGCAAGUCGAACGAGACCUUCGGGUCUAGUGGCGCACGGGUGCGUAACGCGUGGGAAUUUACCCUUGGGUUCGGAAUAACAGUUGGAAACGACUGCUAAUACCGGAUGAUGACGUAAGUCCAAAGAUUUAUCGCCCAGGGAUGAGCCCGCGUAGGAUUAGCUAGUUGGUGAGGUAAAGGCUCACCAAGGCGACGAUCCUUAGCUGGUCUGAGAGGAUGAUCAGCCACACUGGGACUGAGACACGGCCCAGACUCCUACGGGAGGCAGCAGUGGGGAAUAUGGACAAUGGGCGAAAGCCUGAUCCAGCAAUGCCGCGUGAGUGAUGAAGGCCUUAGGUUGUAAAGCUCUUUUACCCGGGAAGAUAAUGACUGUACCGGAGAAUAAGCUCGGCUAACUCCGUGCCAGCAGCCGC